CAGCAGCCGCGGGAAUACGAAGGGUGCAAGCGUUACUCGGAAUUACUGGGCGUAAAGCGCGUGUAGGUGGUUGUUUAAGUCUGUCGUGAAAGCCCUGGGCUCAACCUGGGAAUUGCGAUGGAUACUGGGCGACUAGAGUGCGGUAGAGGAUAGUGGAAUUUCCGGUGUAGCAGUGAAAUGCGUAGAUAUUCGGAAGAACACCAGUGGCGAAGGCGGCUUACUGGCUCAUACUGGACGCUGAGGUGCGAAAGCGUGGGGAGCAAACAGGAUAGAUACCCCAGUAGUCCCUGUCUCUUAUACC
rnacentral:rRNA from 1 species